rnacentral:rRNA from 1 species
AAGCGGUGGAGCAUGUGGUUUAAUUCGAUGCAACGCGAAGUAACCUUACCUGGUCUUGACAUAGUAAGAACUUUCCAGAGAUGGAUUGGUGCCUUCGGGAACUUACAUACAGGUGCUGCAUGGCUGUCGUCAGCUCGUGUCGUGAAAUGUUGGGUUAAGUCCCGCAACGAGCGCAACCCCUAUUGUUAGUUGCCACCAUUCAGUUGGGCACUCUAGCGAGACUGCCGGUAAUAAACCGGAGGAAGGUGGGGAUGACGUCAAAUCAUCAUGCCCCUUAUGACCUGGGCUACACACGUGCUACAAUGGUUGGUACAACGAGUUGCGAGUCGGUGACGGCGAGCUAAUCUCUUAAAGCCAAUCUCAGUUCGGAUUGUAGGCUGCAACUCGCCUACAUGAAGUCGGAAUCGCUAGUAAUCGCGGAUCAGCACGCCGCGGUGAAUACGUUCCCGGGCCUU